AGAAUUAAGAGAUAAGCAUUAUCAUGAAGGUGGUCUUCCCAGGGCAAGGUUUAUUCAGUGCACUCCAGAUGUGCUGACCCCUACAAUUUCCCCAAAUGUGGGAACAUCGACUACAUAAUUUGUGGUAGUGGGUGACUGUGUUCGUGCUCUCCCA
rnacentral:snRNA from 1 species